UUGGACAAUGGAGGCAACUCUGAUCCAGCCAUGCCGCGUGAAGGAAUAAGGCCCUAUGGGUUGUAAACUUCUUUUAGACGGGACAAAACCCCUUUACGUGUAAAGGGUUGAUGGUACUGUCAGAAUAAGCAUCGGCUAACUUCGUGCCAGCAGCCGCGGUAAUACGAAGGAUGCAAGCGUUAUCCGGAAUUAUUGGGUUUAAAGGGUGCGUAGGCGGACUAAUAAGUCAGUGGUGAAAGCAUGCAGCUUAACUGCAGAAUUGCCAUUUAUACUGUUAGCCUUGAGUACAGUUUAGGUAGGCUGAAUGUGUCAUGUAGCGGUGAAAUGCUUAGAUAUGACACAGAAAACCGAUUGCGAAAGCGGCUUGCUAAGCUGUAACUGACGCUGAGGCACGAAAGCGUGGGGAGCAAACA
rnacentral:rRNA from 1 species